rnacentral:lncRNA from 1 species
GGAAUAGAGUUGAAGAGAUGAUUUCCAAACAAGAAAACUCAUCUGGUUUGUUGUUGUGAGGGUAAGAAGGAAGGCCCCAGGUAGGCACGCUUUAACACAGUUAAACAACAUCAGUAAGUUUUCUUCUUACUACUAUCUGUAAAAUAAAUAAAACAUAAAAUAAGAAAACACAGGUAUAUAUCCAUUUGUAUUUCUCAACUCAGCAUUAUCUUCUGUCCAAAACUACAAGUAGAAAAGCUGGUAGAAGAAAAGCAUACCCGCACAAGAAUUUUCAGCCUGAACAGUAUGCAACAGGAUUAAAAAUUAAUCAGACAAAAAACUUUCUGAACACUUAACAGUAUCGCAGCCCACACCAUUACUGGUUAUCUGGUUCAUAUUUAUGAAGGAUGUAACUUCUAAAAGACAAUAAAACCCUCCUCCUUUGUCCGGGCUUGGGACCGGCUGUGUUACACGAGAAUUCAAACACAGGCGGAGUU